rnacentral:rRNA from 1 species
ACUCCUACGGGAGGCAGCAGUGGGGAAUAUUGCGCAAUGGGCGGAAGCCUGACGCAGCGACGCCGCGUGAGGGAUGACGGCCUUCGGGUUGUAAACCUCUUUCAGCACAGACCAAGCUGGUGAGUGUAUGUGCAGAAGAAGCACCGGCUAACUACGUGCCAGCAGCCGCGGUAAUACGUAGGGUGCUAGCGUUGUCCGGAUUUAUUGGGCGUAAAGGGCUCGUAGGCGGUUUGUCGCGUCGGGUGUGAAAUCCUACUGCUUAACGGUGGGCUUGCAUUCGGUACGGGCAGACUAGAGUGUGGCAGGGGAGACUGGAAUUCCUGGUGUAGCGGUGGAAUGCGCAGAUAUCAGGAGGAACACCGGUGGCGAAGGCGGGUCUCUGGGCCAUUACUGACGCUGAGGAGCGAAAGCGUGGGGAGCGAACAGGAUUAGAUACCCUGGUAGUCCACGCUGUAAACGUUGGGCGCUAGGUGUGGGGACUUUUCCACGGUUUCCGUGCCGUAGCUAACGCAUUAAGCGCCCCGCCUGGGGAGUACGGCCGCAAGGCUAAAACUCAAAGGAAUUGACGGGGGCCCGCACAAGCGGCGGAGCAUGCGGCUUAAUUCGAUGCAACGCGAAGAACCUUACCAGGGCUUGACAUGCACGGUUUACUCGCAGAGAUGCGGGGUCCUUUGGGGCCGUGUGCAGGUGGUGCAUGGUUGUCGUCAGCUCGUGUCGUGAGAUGUUGGGUUAAGUCCCGCAACGAGCGCAACCCUUGUCCUAUGUUGCCAGCACGCAGUGGUGGGGACUCGUGGGAGACUGCCGGGGUCAACUCGGA